rnacentral:rRNA from 1 species
AAGGCCUUCGGGUUGUNAAGUACUUUCAGUCGUGAGGAAGGUGGUGUUGUUAAUAGCAGCAUCAUUUGACGUUAGCGACAGCAGAAGNNCCGGCUAACU